rnacentral:rRNA from 1 species
AUUGAACGCUGGCGGCAUGCCUAACACAUGCAAGUCGAACGAGUGGCGGACGGGUGAGUAAGGUAUUGGAAACUGCCCGAUGGAGGGGGAUAACUGCUGGAAACGGUAGCUAAUACCGCAUACCAUCGGAUGUGCCCAGAUGGGCUUAGCUAUUAGGGGGGGUACGGCUCACCUAGGCGACGAUCCCUAGCUGGCCUGAGAGGAUGACCAGCCACACUGGAACUGAGACACGGCCCAGACUCCUACGGGAGGCAGCAGUGGGGAAUAUUGCGCAAUGGGCGAAAGCCUGAUGCAGCCAUGCCGCGUGUAUGAAGAAGGCCUUCGGGUUGUAAAGUACUGUUGUCAGGGAGGCGUUACCCGCAGAAGAAGCACCGGCUAACUACGUGCCAGCAGCCGCGGUAAUUC